GGACCUGACUGCUAUCGGAUUGAUACUAAGCCAUGCGAGUCAUUGUAGCAAUACAAGGCAUACGGCUCAGUAACGCGUAGUCAACCUAACCUAUGGACGGGAAUAACCUCGGGAAACUGAGAAUAAUGCCCGAUAGAACAUUAUGCCUGGAAUGGUUUAUGUUCCAAAUGAUUUAUCGCCGUAGGAUGGGACUGCGGCCUAUCAGUUUGUUGGUGAGGUAAUGGCCCACCAAGACUAUUACAGGUACGGGCUCUGAGAGGAGUAGCCCGGAGAUGGGUACUGAGACACGGACCCAGGCCCUAUGGGGCGCAGCAGGCGAGAAAACUUUGCAAUGUGCGAAAGCACGACAAGGUUAAUCCGAGUGGUUUCUGCUAAAGACACCUUUUGUCAGUCCUAGAAACACUGAUGAAUAAGGGGUGGGCGAAGUUCUGGUGU
rnacentral:rRNA from 1 species